GUUGUGGCUCAGCGGUGGAGCGCUUGCCCAGCAAGCUUGAGGCACUGGGUUCGAUUCUCGGCACACA
rnacentral:tRNA from 1 species